CAGUCGCCGCGGUAAAACGAGGGGUGCAAGCGUUAUUCGGAUUGAUUGGGUGUAAAGGGUGUGCAGACGGCUUAUUAAGUCACUUGUUAAAUUCUUCGGCCCAACUGAAGGUCUGCAAGUGAUACUGAUGAGCUAGAGGGUGGAAGAGAGAAGUGGAAUUCUCGGAGUAGCGGUAAAAUGCGUAGAUCUCGAGAGGAACACCAAUGGCGAAGGCAGCUUCUUGGUCCAUUCCUGACGUUCAUACACGAAAGCGUGGGGAGCAAACAGGAUUAGAUACCCCCGUAGUCCCUGUCUCUUAUAC
rnacentral:rRNA from 1 species